rnacentral:rRNA from 1 species
UACGGAGGGUGCAAGCGUUUGUCCGGAAUCACUGGGCGUAAAGGGCGCGUAGGCGGCUCAUGAAGGCUGUGGUGAAAGUCCGGGGCUCAACCUCGGAUCGGCCGUGGCGACUCGUGGGCUGGAGCACUGUAGAGGCGGGUGGAAUUCCGGGUGUAGCGGUGGAAUGCGCAGAUAUCAGGAGGAACACCGGUGGCGAAGGCGGGUCUCUGGGCCGAUACUGACGCUGAGGAGCGAAAGCGUGGGGAGCGAACAGG